rnacentral:rRNA from 1 species
GACAGAGGGUGCAAACGUUGUUCGGAAUUACUGGGCGUAAAGCGCGUGUAGGCUGCUCGGAAAGUCGGGUGUGAAAGCCCUGGGCUCAACCUAGGAAGUGCACUCGAAACUUCCGAGCUGGAGUGCUGGAGAGGAAGGCGGAAUUCUCGGUGUAGAGGUGAAAUUCGUAGAUAUCGAGAGGAACACCGGUGGCGAAGGCGGCCUUCUGGACAGCCACUGACGCUGAGACGCGAAAGCGUGGGGAGCGAACAGG